GAAAUGCGAUAAGUAGUGUGAAUUGCAGAAUUCAGUGAAUCAUCGAAUCUUUGAACGCACAUUGCGCCCCUUGGCAUUCCAUGGGGCAUGCCUGUUCGAGCGUCAUUUGUACCCUCAAGCUCUGCUUGGUGUUGGGUGUUUGUCCCGUCUCCGCGCGUGGACUCGCCCCAAAGUGAUUGGCAGCCGGCGUACUGGUCCCGGAGCGCAGCACAUGUCGCGCAAACGAGUGCCUUGGUACGGCGGCGUCCAUAAGCCCCUCUCUCACGCUCUUGACCUCGGAUAAGGUAGGGAUACCCGCUGAACUUAAGC
rnacentral:misc_RNA from 1 species